ACACGGAUCAUGAUCCCCACAACUCUCCUACAAUCCCUACUUUUGUACAGCUUUUGUGACAUUUGAAUUUUGAAACAGGGUUUCAACAUCGAUUUGAGGAUUUGGCUCCAUCUUCUCUCUUUCUCAUGUAUAUUGAAUGACUCAAUCUCAUCUCUUUCUCAGAACACCACCGACUUGAAGAUUACAUCUGGGAGAUAUGACAACGAAUAAGUCCGUUCUUCCGAUUCAACAACCAUCAGUUUAUAGUGAAUCAAGUCUGCAAAGAUUGGUGGCUACGGAGAAGAGUUCCUGGCUGUAGAUGGUGAUUGAGGUAGGUUCCGACAGACAAACUGAGGAUUUAAUAAGGUGUGGCCGAUAUUUGAUUCUUUUCAAUCUUGUGAUUUUCGGAAGGUAAAUUGAAGCCACCAACGGGCUUGUAGCCUAGCAGUGUGAUGGUAUCAUGGUGCGCAGAUAAGUUGUUCCUCCCCUGCUUCAAUGGCUGAUGUAUCUGCCUUUCAUGCAACUUCAUUUCUUCCUGUAAAAAAGGCUAAGGCUAUAACAGAUCCAGAGAGAAGAGGGUUUCUAAAAAUGUAGAGAUAGGCGUAGAGAGGCCAUGUGGUGAAAUUUGGCUCAUGAAAUGACAACAGAGUAUGGUGUUUAUUUAUGGACUGUGCUUUGCAUUGCUUUAGUAAGUUUUUAUUAUUUUUAGGAAGCACCAGAUAUUGUUUAUUUUUGGUCUCACCUUUUCGGGAAAUGGAUGUUGCCAAAAUAAUAUCCGAACCCCAGUUACAGCUAUUAAUUUGUAUUGUGGUUUUUUAUUUAUUUUACUGUUUUUAUUCAUUUAUUUUAAAUCUAAAGAUAAGGGGUUGCUAUUUUGGUUACUUGAUCUAUCCCUGUUACAAGUUUCCCUCUAAUAUGUGUCCUUUACCGGGACUUGAAUAACACUCUGGUUUUGUAGGGCGCUUUCUACCUUUUUAUUGAUUUCAACCAUUACUAUGGCACACAGGUUGAUGGAUUCAAGUUGAUUAAAAACUCAGGAUCCGUGUGCUGGUAUUUGUUGGAAACGGGUCAGGUUGCCCUUGUGUCGAAAAUGAUUGUUAAAGCUGACAAAUACUUGGUCAUGGGAUGCUAUGAUAAUGAUGGUCUUGCUAUUCGUGAAGUGGUUGGGUAGUACAAAGAAAAUACAAAGAUUAUAGCGGAUACAUUUACCUCACUAGGUUUCAAAGUAUAUGGCGGAAUGCAUGCCCCAUAUGUGUGGGUCCACUUCCCUGGUCGAAAUUCGUGGGAUGUCUUCAGUGAUAUUCUUGAGAAAAGUCAUGUUGUGACCACACUUGGGAGUGGGUUCGGACCUGCUGGUGAAGGGUUCGUUAGGGUCAGCGGCUUUCGCCCCAGGAGCAUCGUGUUGGAAGCCUGUAGGAGAUUCAAGGAGCUGAGAAAAUGAAUCCAUUUUCAUAUUAAAUUAAUUCUUCAAUCAACCUGCUUGUUUGUUGGAGGAAUUUAACCUGCUUGUUUUUUUUUUCGAUCUACUAAUUCCCCCUUGAAUGCUGUCACCACUGAUUACUAAUUGGAGUUUAGAAUCAAUUAACAAAUCACACAUGUUUAGGAAUAA